rnacentral:tRNA from 1 species
GGCCGAGUAGCUCAGUUGGUUAGAGCGUCGUGCUGAUAACGCGAAGGUCGAGGGUUCGAGCCCCUCCCGGCCA